rnacentral:rRNA from 1 species
GACGAACGCUGGCGGCGUGCUUAACACAUGCAAGUCGAACGGAAAGGCCCUGCUUUUGUGGGGUGCUCGAGUGGCGAACGGGUGAGUAACACGUGAGUAACCUUCCCUUUACUUUGGGAUAACUUCAGGAAACUGGUGCUAAUACCGGAUAGGAGCUCCUGCUGCAUGGUGGGGUUUGGAAAGUUUCGGCGGUUGGGGAUGGACUCGCGGCUUAUCAGCUUGUUGGUGGGGUAGUGGCUUACCAAGGCUUUGACGGGUAGCCGGCCUGAGAGGGUGACCGGCCACAUUGGGACUGAGAUACGGCCCAGACUCCUACGGGAGGCAGCAGUGGGGAAUAUUGCACAAUGGGCGGAAGCCUGAUGCAGCAACGCCGCGUGCGGGAUGACGGCCUUCGGGUUGUAAACCGCUUUCGCCUGUGACGAAGCGUGAGUGACGGUAAUGGGUAAAGAAGCACCGGCUAACUACGUG